UAGAAGGUUCAAACCUGGGGGAGGAAGACUGAAAUUUUCUGCAUCGUUUUCUGCAUCGUUUUUUUACUGUUCGGCAAAAAGCCAGCAAUUGUUGAAAAGAUUUGUAUUCGUUCAAAUUUUAACUUUAGAUGAUCGGUUUCGUGUUGCGAGUCAUGUAACUCAGUUGUUUGGGUGCUAAAUUUAGAUUUGGCUAAAUUUUUAGAACAACAAUUAAUCAAACCAUUUUUAUUUAUCAGCUUCAAAACUUUGACGAAAUUUAAGCGACUUAAUACGCCAUAUCAUGCAAGAAUUUUCCAGAGCAAAACAAAACCUAAUUAAAUCAUUGUUUUAUACAAAACAAGUGCUUUUCAGCAUCAAACAAGUUCUAUUAAAAAUCACUAAAUAAGAAAGUAAAAUAUUGAACCUCCGCACUGGUCGGUAGAUUGAUGAGAGAAAUUUGACGUUUGAAAGAUUUUUUUUCUUUUUUUAAUCAGUCUUCCUCCCCCAGGUCCAAACAAAUUGUGUCCGCAUAAAACAGUUAGGACUUCGUAUAUAAUUAUGACCAUAGUGAUAACAACAUACAAGAUAAAGGUUAGAUACCAGUAAAACUUCCCCUCACAUCCGAUACACUCAAGAACACAUACAGUAUAAUGCAAUCCCGCCGCCCAAACGCCACUCCAAACCACCGCCACCCACCCACCACCCCCCAUCAGUAACCCACGCACCACCGCAGCAGCCCACAACAAUCUACGAAUUUAAAAUACAUGUCUUAAUAAUCCUAUUAUAUUGUAUAAAACUGUGAAAUAGCAAACGAAAAGUGCCAAGCACUCCUUCACAGAGCAUUAUUUCGCUCACUGGAGUGCUCAUACAUAUUUUGGAAAAAUUUUGUAAACGAAUUGUUAAAAUUGUUUUGACAGGGUUUUGUGCCUGUUGGAGAAGAGGCUUGAGAGAAGC